GCCCGUAGCUGUAUUAGAAUCUCGGCUUGCUGGGCCGCCGACGCCACCUGAUGCUGAGUCAGGCUCUCCACCGAAGCUUGAAGGGGCUGGACCUGGACCUGGAGGUUCUGCACGGCAAUGGCGGCCGCCUCCAGCUGGUGAGUAUGAUUGUCCGUCAGCUGAAGCUGUCUAUCCAGGGCAGCUUCUAAACUGCCACGGUCUGUGUCGGCUGGGGUCAUCAUGGUGAGUUCGUACUGUUAUGGAUUGUCUCUGACCCCAAGUGCACGACACCAGACACAGCUUAGGUUUAGCCGGAAAACGGCGUAGUUUAUUUCACAAAAUAACCAAAUACGAGAAACAAACAAAAAAAAGGCAACUCCAAAAACUUCUCUAGUCCGUGGGCGCUCUUAGUCCAAUCAAAAAAUGAAAACUCACACGAUACUCACAGGGAAAACAAAAACUCUGCGUAGGGAAUUCCGGAAGGGUUUCCAAGAGGAGCACAGGGGAAGAACAAUCAACCCUCUCUGGGGAAACACAGAGCACGAACUCACAGCGAGCCACUGGCAGAUCUGCUUCUUAACCUCCCUGUGGGAUGAGCUGACGAGCUGCAGCUGUGGCGAUGAGCAGAGCGGCGUCAGGUGUGCGACUCUCUGGCUGGUCGAGCCCUAACAUUAUCAUGUACAUUGCUAAAUGCAUCGAGGUCUCAGAAACGUUUUAGUGCCGGCAAAAGAGUUUGAUUUGUUUAAAUAACCAGGUGGGAAGAAUGUUGAUGACUCAUGUCAGGGAUCAGGGAACAUUUAUUGACAAAAUAUGUCAAACCUACAAGGAAUUUGUCUUGGCUGUUGGUGCGUGACAGUAUAUCAGUCGAAAACCAUUUUGUUCGGAUUUUGUUCCUUCUAAGACGAAGUGGUCAACUGCCUUAUUGCCUGCACAAAUAUUUAUACUUGGGGACAAGAUACUCGUCAAAUAUAAGACAAUAGCACUGCAAUAAACAAGACUACAAACUUUACGAAUUGUAUUUCCACCGUCUGUAUGAAUAACAGAUAUACCGCGGGUACGGAAAGUUUUCAGACCCUUUUAAAUUUUUCGCUCUUUGUUUCAGUGCAACCAUUUGCUAAAGUGAAAAUGAAUUGAAAAGUUGUUUUAUUUCUCAUUAAUGUACACUGGUAAUUGUAUUGGGGGUGGUUGUGGUGGUGGCAGUUGAUGUUGAACAGUCACAGCUAUUAAAAUAUUGUUUAAUCCAAAUGUCAAAAAAAGGUUGGUUAUCAAAGUUUAUGUUAAUGCCCAUGGUUGUUCUGCUAUAUGUCACUUUAGCUCAACCCGUUUGUACUUGUUAUGAAGUAGCAGUGUAUCCCCUAAAACGUCAGGGCGGGGGAUAGUCGGCCAAAGCCAACCGGUCCGACCGGGUGGAUGAUGAUCAGGCAAACGGUUCAGCGAGAAGGGGGUAGUGGUGCUUUGUGCCCCGCUGCUGGGGGAUAACACGCACAUAUUCGUGUCAGUGUGGAACUGCCGUGGGUCAAAAGAUAACUAUAAUUUUUUUUCUCAUUAUUAGUUCACACUCUUCCAGCGGGGGAGGGGGGUGAUGUUACAAUGGUAGGGGAAACACUGGAUAGACACACCAAUUGAAGUACUAUUUAAAAAGGAGGAAUUUCCAGGUACAUUGAGGCGGAACAAGGAAGAAAGUUAAAUUCAAAAUUCCCAAACAAGAACACACCCACACCUCAUUACAAUGACUAACGAUGGCUGUGGGCUAUCUGAUUGGCACUGUUGUGAAACUUCCUGGGUUAACAGGCUUGACAGGUCUUGUGUCUGUUUAAAUUGUCUUCAUUUUAGUCUGAAUUAUUUUAAAUUGUGUGAUAUUCAUGUGCAAAUACUAGGGAUUGCUUUCAUGUGAGCUGAUAUCUCAUCUGUAACAUAACCUGUUCCGAAGUAGGGUAGGUGUUGAGCAUACGUAACCAUGGCAAUCUAUCCAACUAAAAAGUGUACAUUUGUCAUGUAACUGAAAACCCAGAUUGAACCAUCACAUUAUAGGACCAUCCCAAAUUCUGCGGCCCUCAGCUCAGUUUCCCAACAUUCAACAAGAGCAAAUGAAAAAUGAACACAGGUAUUUUCACUUUCAUCUGCUGGUCUGUAGUAUUACAAUUUUGAUUUUUAUUUGGCAAGAGUAUUAAAGUGAUACUCUCCGAUGUUUGUAUAGUCACCAAAUUACAUUGGAUUUGAAUGGAAUUUUGUUUAACAUUUAAAAAAUAAGAGUUAUUUAUAGUCUUGAUAAUUAACACUCUGCGGUGUGAGGAUUGGGAAGAGUAUAUAAUAUAUUCCUUUCAAUUGAACUUUGAACUGAGAGGCUAAAAAUUCAAGUAUCCACUAAGCAAUUAGAUGUUGGGCCAAUUCAAGCACAGGAGCUUGUAAAGACAAUGUUGGGCUGGUGAGGCCGCUGCUUGGUAAGUUACCAAAGAACCAAGUUAGAAAAUAUGUUUUUUGAUUUGGUUAAACUGGCUCUUUUUAUUCAAACAUUUACUUCAUCAGUGUGCUUACCUGCAGUUAGAGUGAGCUUGCACAUUUUGACACGGUUUGGAUGCGCUGAAAGAGAAGCAUUCGGUUAAUAUGCAGCGUAAAAAAUGUGAACACAUGAUUCAUUUGACAAAUCCUCAUCCUGAGCAAUUCGCGACCAAAAUAUUUAAGAUACAUUCUCGCCUAGAUUAACUUUUAAAUUGAAAAAUCGCCUGUAAAUGUACAAUAGAACUGUGAAACACCAAAUGUAUGACUCUAGAGUAGGAAGGACAUGCUGGUGCUCGGCACAAACCCACACAUACAGUGUCCCUGUGUUUUAUGCAGGUAUAGCAAUAUACAAGCACAAAAAGUCAUGAGUUAAAAGUGGAUGGUUAGGAUCAAAGUAAAAAGUAUACUUACAAUGGUGAAGGAAGCAAACACUGUCUCUGCUGUGUCUGGUGACUGGCCAAUGACUUGCAGCGAUGCUUUAUAUGGUUGAGGAGCUGACAUGGUGUGACAAAUAUGUAGAUCACAAUGUUGUGCACAAUUAUGCAGCUGUUAAUUAUCCAAUUAUUUCGGAGUCUUUUUUCUAAGGUGGCAAUUGUGGGUUUGGCAUCUGACCAGAAUGCCUCCUAGAUGCCUCCCUUUUUUAAUUUUUCUUGGUAUGUCCAACUAAUAAGAAACGUCGUUUCUCCAUACUUGUGCUGUGCCAUUUUGGAAGGCCAGUGCCAAUGGGGCCUCAGUUCACUGUUGUUAGCUGACAGGAGUGCCAAACAACGUGGUCAUUGCUCUUUAACCCUGUUGUGCGUUCAUAUGUCUGUGUGCAUAUGUACCCAGUGGACCCUAUAAGGUUAUGCAUGAAAAUUCCAGUAGAUCAACAUGUUCUGAAAAACUCAAACCAGCCUGUCCGGCAGCAACAGCCCGGGCAUGUUCAGAGUCCCAUUUCUUCCUCAUUCUGAUGCUUGUUUUAAACUUUGGCAGAUUAUCAUGUACAUUGCUAAAUGCAUCGAGGUCUCAGACACGUUUUAGUGCCGGCAAAAGAGUUUGAUUUGUUUAAAUAACCAGGUGGGAAGAAUGUUGAUGACUGAUAUCAGAAAUCAGGGAACAUUUAUUGACAAAAUAUGUCAAACCUACAAGGAAUUUGUCUUGGCUGUUGGUGAGUGACAGUAUAUCAGUCGAAAACCAUUUUGUUCGGAUUUUGCUCCUUCCAAAACAAAGUGGUCAACUGCCUUAUUGCCUGCACAAAUAUUUAUACUUGGGGACAAGAUACUCGUCAAAUAUAAGACAAUAGCACUGCAAUAAACAAGACUACAAACUUUACGAAUUGCAUUUCCACCGUCUGUAUGAAUAACAG
ensembl:lncRNA